rnacentral:rRNA from 1 species
CGUAGGUGGCGAGCGUUAUCCGGAUUUACUGGGCGUAAAGCGUGUGCAGGUGGGCUGAUAAGUGGUGUAUGAAAUCGCCGCGCUCAACGUGGCGGGGUUAUGCCAGACUGUCAGUCCAGAGGUCGAGAGAGGGAUGUGGAAUUCCGGGUGUAGUGGUGAAAUGCGUAGAGAUCCGGAGGAACCCCAGAGGCGAAGGCGGCAUCCUGGCUCGACACUGACACUCAGACACGACAGCAUGGGGAGCGAACGGGAUUAGAAACCCCGGUAGUCCAUGCCGUAAACGAUGCCAACUAGGCGCUGGGGGACUCAACCCCCUCGGUGCCGCAGCAAACGCGAUAAGUUGGCCGCCUGGGGAGUACGGCCGCAAGGCUA